rnacentral:rRNA from 1 species
UAGGGAAUCUUCGGCAAUGGGGGCAACCCUGACCGAGCAACGCCGCGUGAGUGAAGAAGGUUUUCGGAUCGUAAAGCUCUGUUGUAAGAGAAGAACGUGUGUGAGAGUGGAAAGUUCACACAGUGACGGUAACUUACCAGAAAGGGACGGCUAACUACGUGCCAGCAGCCGCGGUAAUACGUAGGUCCCGAGCGUUGUCCGGAUUUAUUGGGCGUAAAGCGAGCGCAGGCGGUUUAAUAAGUCUGAAGUUAAAGGCAGUGGCUUAACCAUUGUUCGCUUUGGAAACUGUUAAACUUGAGUGCAGAAGGGGAGAGUGGAAUUCCAUGUGUAGCGGUGAUAUGCGUAGAUAUAUGGAGGAACACCGGUGGCGAAAGCGGCUCUCUGGUCUGUAACUGACGCUGAGGCUCGAAAGCGUGGGGAGCAAACAGG